AUUGAACGCUGGCGGCAGGCUUAACACAUGCAAGUCGAACGGUAGCAGGAGAAAGCUUGCUUUCUUGCUGACGAGUGGCGGACGGGUGAGUAAUGCUUGGGAAUCUGGCUUAUGGAGGGGGAUAACGACGGGAAACUGUCGCUAAUACCGCGUAUUAUCGGAAGAUGAAAGUGCGGGACUGAGAGGCCGCAUGCCAUAGGAUGAGCCCAAGUGGGAUUAGGUAGUUGGUGGGGUAAAGGCCUACCAAGCCUGCGAUCUCUAGCUGGUCUGAGAGGAUGGCCAGCCACACUGGAACUGAGACACGGUCCAGACUCCUACGGGAGGCAGCAGUGGGGAAUAUUGCGCAAUGGGGGGAACCCUGACGCAGCCAUGCCGCGUGAAUGAAGAAGGCCUUAGGGUUGUAAAGUUCUUUCGGUAUUGAGGAAGGUUGAUGUGUUAAUAGCACAUCAAAUUGACGUUAAAUACAGAAGAAGCACCGGCUAACUCCGUGCCAGCAGCCGCGGUAAUACGGAGGGUGCGAGCGUUAAU
rnacentral:rRNA from 1 species